GACAGAGGGUGCAAACGUUGCUCGGAAUCACUGGGCGUAAAGGGCGCGUAGGCGGUGCGGUAAGUCACCUGUGAAAUCUCCUGGCUCAACUGGGAGCCUGCAGGCGAAACUGCCGUGCUGGAGUGUGGGAGAGGUGCGUGGAAUUCCCGGUGUAGCGGUGAAAUGCGUAGAGAUCAGGAGGAACACCCGUGGCGAAGGCGGCUCUCUGGUACGUGACUGACGCUGAAGACGCGAAAGCGUGGGGAGCAAACAGG
rnacentral:rRNA from 1 species